UUGAACGCUGGCGGCAUGCUUUACACAUGCAAGUCGAACGGUAACAGGGAGCUUGCUCCGCUGACGAGUGGCGAACGGGUGAGUAAUGCAUCGGAACGUGCCUAUUUGUGGGGGAUAACGUAGCGAAAGUUACGCUAAUACCGCAUACGCCCUGAGGGGGAAAGCGGGGGAUCGCAAGACCUCGCGCGAUAGGAGCGGCCGAUAUCGGAUUAGCUAGUUGGUGAGGUAAAGGCUCACCAAGGCGACGAUCCGUAGCUGGUCUGAGAGGACGACCAGCCACACUGGAACUGAGACACGGUCCAGACUCCUACGGGAGGCAGCAGUGGGGAAUUUUGGACAAUGGGGGAAACCCUGAUCCAGCCAUUCCGCGUGAGUGAAGAAGGCCUUCGGGUUGUAAAGCUCUUUCGGCAGGAACGAAACGGUAAGGGCUAAUAUCCUUUGCUAAUGACGGUACCUGAAGAAGAAGCACCGGCUAACUACGU
rnacentral:rRNA from 1 species